AUUGAACGCUGGCGGCAUGCUUUACACAUGCAAGUCGAACGGUAACAGGCCGCAAGGUGCUGACGAGUGGCGAACGGGUGAGUAAUGCAUCGGAACGUGCCCAGUCGUGGGGGAUAACGCAGCGAAAGCUGCGCUAAUACCGCAUACGAUCUAUGGAUGAAAGCGGGGGACCGUAAGGCCUCGCGCGAUUGGAGCGGCCGAUGUCAGUUUAGGUAGUUGGUGGGGUAAAGGCUCACCAAGCCAACGAUCUGUAGCUGGUCUGAGAGGACGACCAGCCACGAUGGGACUGAGACACGGCCCAGACUCCUACGGGAGGCAGCAGUGGGGAAUUUUGGACAAUGGGCGCAAGCCUGAUCCAGCAAUGCCGCGUGCAGGAAGAAGGCCUUCGGGUUGUAAACUGCUUUUGUACGGAACGAAACGGUCCUGGUUAAUACCCGGGGCUAAUGACGGUACCGUAAGAAUAAGCACCGGCUAACUACGUGCCAGCCGCCGCGGUAACAC
rnacentral:rRNA from 1 species